rnacentral:lncRNA from 1 species
AAGAAAACAGAAAGAUGCCGGGAGAGACAGCUUCAAAAUGGCCUUUGUUUCAGAUGUUCUCAAAAGCGAUGUCGACUGCAGGUCUGUUCAUUUGGGGGAUAAAAUGGGGACUGCUUAGCCUUCGCUGGUCUCUGUUUCCUCACUGAGGACGAGGGCUGCCAGCAUACUGCUACCAAGGAGGAGCACCACUGAGACGCUCACGGUUGCUAGAUAUCUCUGAAGCUGAAGGAACUACAGAGCUUGCUGCAGGCUGGAGCAAGGUUAGAUGCAUGUAAGAGUCUGUGCAAACUGCCCACCGCUCACAGAUGAAGGCUGAAGAUGCUGCCAACAGUCUCCACUCCCCCACUCUCGUCAUACAAAUCUAGAACAGAUCUAGAACCACCAAGUUGUAAUUCAGCAUUUAAGGGGGUUGACAGAGGAAGCCAACAAGUUCAAGGCCAGCCAGGGCAACUCAGCAAGAGCAUGUCAAGAGAGAGAGGGAGAGAUGAGGGAGGGUGUGUGUGUGUGUGUGUGUGUGUGUGUGUGUGUAGCUCAGUGAUGGAGCUUGCCUAGCAUGUACAAGGUCCUUAGUGCAAUCAUGGUACUACCAAAAAAAAAAAAAAAAUUACGCAUAGUCAGUUAGUUCUGAAGUCAGUUGACUCUGCAAGAGCCUCACACACACCCUAGCACGGGCAUAUUAGUCAGUGCAAUGCGC